rnacentral:rRNA from 1 species
AUGAGUCUCAUAAGUUGGAACUAUCGGGGGGCGGGGAACUCCCGGACAGUUCGAGAACUUGCGACGCUUGUGCAGUCGCUUCCCCCACUAUGGUCUUCCUGUGUGAAACUCAGCAGCCAAAGACCGUAUGAAACAUAUCGCAACAGGCUAGGCCUGCAAGGAUUCCAUGGAGUUAACAGUGAUGGUAACAGUGGUGGUUUAGCGCUAUUUUGGCAUGAAUCUCUUUCGGUAGACGUGGUUAUUUCUAACCAACAAUGCAUUGAUGCUCACAUCAAGGCUGGCCGGAUGAGCCACCGUGGAGACUUACUUGUGUGUACGGGGAACCUAGAGUUGAGAACCGACACUUGA